GUUAAUCUCCAAUACAAUCCGCCUCAAACCAUGGGGAAGAAGCAAAAUGGGUUUAGAAGGCCUGUUAUCAUAAAAAACAAGAGGAAUCAUCAGCAGGUCGUAACUACUGGACCAUCAAGCCAUGCACAUAACAUCUAUUGAGCUAACAUCUAACUGCAUCAAAACCAACAAGCAGUAGGCCCAUUGUAGCAGGGACAUGGCAUAUGCUAGCAGACAACUUACCAAAACCAGGCUCCAACUAAUUGAACCUAACAACCUUGCUAACUUUGUCAUCCAAACUAACAGUAGCAGCUCAUUACACCAACAAAGCUAACAGUCCUAAUUGCAACAUAACAACAAACCAAUGUUAAUGGAUAAACCUGUUGAAGCCAAGAGAAGUCCAUGUGAGGUCUCCAACUCAACCUCGAAAAUAUGCAUUUGAAUAGCACAUAGUCCAUUACAGAUCAGGGAAAAAUCAUGGAAAUUGUUUGCAAUAUAAUAAGGAUAUCCACAUACAACAACAUGUAUUAACCUCUAAGCAGCCACGCCACCAUGAGAUGCACAUCAACCAAGUCAACAAUGCCCUACAAGUCAGCAACAAAACCAUCUGCAACACAUUCAUUCAUCCAAGCAACCAUGAGAAAAUGUCUUACAUCAACAUGAACCAAAGCACAUCAUUAGGGGAUUUACUUGAAAAAGAUAUGGUUAAUGGCUAUAGUCCAAGUCCCGAUUCAGCAUCAUCAUCCCCUUCGCCAGCAUCUUCAACUGCUUCAAUGAAUGCAGAAAGCUUGCUCAACGCCCUGUGGAGUUUAUCGCCGAAAGUCAUGGUUGUUACCGAACAGGAUUCAAAUCACAACGGUUCAACUCUAAUGGAGCGGCUGCUUGAAGCCCUAUAUUCUUAUGCAGCAUUGUUCGAUUGUUUGGAAUCAACUGUGUCUAGAACAUCACUAGAGAGAUUAAAGGUUGAGAAAAUGCUGUUUGGUGAGGAAAUCAAGAACAUAUUGCCUGUUAAGUGAUGCCCCUGGUCCAUAACCAAUCGUACCUCCAUAAUUCAUGUUAACCGUGGACCUGCAUAACCCAAACCAUAGCAAUCCAAAGCUGUGAUCAAAACCGAAACCGCCUUUGAAUCUUCAAUAUUUUUUUCACUGCAGUAACACAGAGCAAUUAGCAAGGCAGUAAAAUUCAGAAAAUUACCCAAAACAGAGUUAAGACAAAAACGAAGAAGAAAGCGCAUGCUCAGAUUACCUGUUCCAAAUCCAAACAUCAAGUAGGGCGACUGAAACCUGACAACCCAAAAGAGACUUCGCAGGAUACCCUUUUGAACUCCAUAGACCAAAUCCCAAACCCUAACGGCAGAAGAUAAAUAGAGAAAAGCGAAUCAGUGAGAGGGGGCGAAAACCUUGGAGGCGAUAUAAACAGAAGAAACCCUAAAAUCGGUCAAACGAAAAACCUAACCUUUCGGAAGCCAAGCUUGAUUUUGUUGACGGCGGGAAGAACCUAGCAGAGAGAAGAGGAUUAAGCUCACCGUCACCACCGAAGGUGAGCCGUCCUAUUCGCUUCUAUACUGGAAAUCAUGUUUUUUUGUGUUUAGGUUGAGAAAUGGAGGCGCGAGGUCGAGGGUUGAUAGGAAAGAGAGACGCGAUUGAAAGAGGGUUUUGGUGAGAGAAAUGUGAGGUUCGCUGAGAGUGAGAUUGAGGGAGAUUGAGGACGAUGACUCUCUUGGGUUUGUGAUUACAGUGCUUUUUCAUUUUCUUUUUUUGGUUUCCUUUUAUUUAUUCCUUUAUUUUUUAGUAGAACAACAUUGAAACCAUUAGUUUUUCUACGUUUAAACUUCCUAGGUUUUCAUUUACUAGUGUAUUAGUAUAGUAUUUUAGUAUUCCCAAUCAAUCAGCCUCUAGAACCCAACAGCCAGGCGGCUGGGUUUGAUUUCAUUUUUUUGUUUUUUUUUGUUUUGGUAGUCCAACAGACUUGUUUUUUCAUAUUAGUUUUUAUUUUAAUUCUAAUUUUUAAUCUAUCUUGGUUUAUUUGUCCAAAUUAGCAUUAAGAUGACAACUAAUCAUAAAUGGCCUGGUGGGGAGGGGUGGUUUUCAUGGUCUUUAGUGGAGUGGGUUCAAUACCCAUAUGUAGCAUUUUAUUUCUUUUAGCAUUUUUUUAAUGUUUAUGCUUUAUUAUACUCAUAGUUUCAUUAUUGUUUAAAUAACACAGAUUUGUUUUCUUUUAAUUUCAUCAUCCAUUCAAACCGCUUUAAACUUUUAAAAUCAUUUUUCUCGAUUCAAUGUCGAGCCCAUUUCCACACCCUUGUAAGUCGAUUGCUUUUAAGCAUCCCCAUCAACCUCACAUAGCUUACUCUUGGGCUUUCUUACAAUGAGCCGGUUCUCUUGCACUUACACUCAUGCAUUGCAUUAUUUGUUGUUUGGGCCCGAUUUAAUUAUUUCAUGAUUUUGAAUCCCCAUUUGACAAAAUGUACCCCACUCCCCCGAUGUGUAAUAAUUUUGUACUGAUUUAUUUCUUUAUUUGUUUGAUUGUUUAGUUGAAUACUAACACAAGAAUAAAAUCAACCAUUUUAAAAAAAAAAUACAAAAAUAUGACUCGAUCCGAUGUCGAGUAUUUUCUCAAUAAACAAAUCAAUUCAUUUCUCCCUCCUAUUCUAUUCCAUUUCUUUCAAACUUUCAUCAAACGCUUGAUUCAACGUCAAGCCAUUUUUUCUAAUAAAAACUCAAAAAAUAUUAAUUUAUAGUUAAGACCUUUUCAAU
rnacentral:lncRNA from 1 species